GAAUAUUUAAGUAUUCCGGCAGUAACUGUGGCACAGAAAGCGUGCCUUGCUUGGAGCCGAGGAGUAGGUCAGCUGUGGUCCUGGACAAGAACGUGGAUUUAAGGAUACAGUUUGUGAAUUUGCUACAUCAAGAAUCAUGAGUACUUCCUCUCUCCCAGAAGAGGUGCCUCCAUGACAUAAAAGAGAACAAGAUAAUUUGCUCUUUUCACAAAGAAGAAAUAGAAGCAGGUGAAAGCUGCCGUUCUGAAAAAUACAUGGCUGAAGAAAUGCUACAUUAUCUGGGGAGCUCUGGUCACCAUACAUGCCUCUGCUAAA